UACGUAGGUGGCGAGCGUUGUCCGGCCUUCCUUUUUUUCCCUCUCUCUUAUUCUUUAUUCCAAUUCCUCUUUGAAAUCGCCCGGCUCAACUGGGCGCGGUCGGUGGAAACUGGUCACCUGGAGGACGGUAGAGGCGAGUGGAAUUCCCGGUGUAGUGGUGAAAUGCGUAGAGAUCGGGAGGAACACCAGUGGCGAAGGCGGCUCGCUGGGCCGGCCCUGACGCUGAGGCGCGAAGGCGUGGGGAGCGAACGGG
rnacentral:rRNA from 1 species